GACGAACGCUGGCGGCGUGCUUAACACAUGCAAGUCGAACGGAAAGGCCCUGCUUUUGUGGGGUUUUCGAGUGGCGAACGGGUGAGUAACACGUGAGUAACCUUCCUUUUACUUUGGGAUAACUUCAGGAAACUGGUGCUAAUACCGGAUAGGAGCUCCUGCUGCUUGGUGGGGUUUGGAACGUUUCGGCGGUUGGGGAUGUACUCGCGGUUUACCAGCUUGUUGGUGGGGUAGUGGCUUACCAAGGCUUUGACGGGUAGCCGGCCUGAGAGGGUGACCGGCCACAUUGGGACUGAGAGACGGACCAGAGUCCUACGGGAGGCAGCAGUGGGGAAUAUUGCACAAUGGGCGGAAGCCUGAUGAAGAAACGCCGCGUGCGGGAUGAAGGCCUUCGGGGUGUAAACCGCUUUCGCCUGUGACGAAGCGUGAGUGACGUUAAUAGGUAAAGAAGCACCGGCUAACUACGUG
rnacentral:rRNA from 1 species